rnacentral:lncRNA from 1 species
AGCUCCACUCGAUUUGCUGCUGCUGCUCAAGGCUCACUGCAGAACCAUGCUUGCUCUCACGGCCUUCGUUUCGCCCACGGGGCUUUUAAAGGCCUUAAACAGGAUUUAGAUCGAAGAAACAUUUCUAUUAGAACUCCAGAACCUCCCCAAGCCAUUAGAUCCCAACUGCGACCCAUGUUGACCGUUCGAUCGUGCAACACAUGAGUCCCCGGUCCACCAAAAUGCCGUGAGCCAUGAGAAAUAGACAAGAAACCGCCUAGCGAUCCAUGUGGAAACACCC